UGAACGCUGGCGGCGUGCCUAAUACAUGCAAGUCGAGCGGUAAGGUUCUGCACUUAGUAUUUGACCCCUGAAAGUCCUUUUAUGGAUACUACAGAGAAGAAUUGAUUCCUGGCUAAGAAUCAUAGUCGAAUGUUGAGUGUAGAAUACACGAGCGGCGGACGGCUGAGUAACACGUAGGAACGUACCCCAAACUGAGGGAUAAGCACCAGAAAUGGUGUCUAAUACCGCAUGUGAUCUUCGGAUUAAAGCUUCGGCGGUUUGGGAACGGCCUGCGCCUGAUUAGUUUGUUGGUGAGGUAACGGCUCACCAAGACUACGAUCAGUAGGUGGUCUGAGAGGAUGACCACCCAGACUGGGACUGAGAACGGCCCAGACUCCUACGGGAGGCAGCAGUAGGGAAUUUUCCACAAUGGACGAAAGUCUGAUGGAGCAACGCCGCGUGCAGGAUGAAUGCCUUCGGGUUGUAAACUGCUUUUACCUGUGACGAAUAUGACGGUAGCAGAUGAAUAAGGAUCGGCUAACUCCGUGCCAGCAGCCGCGGUCAUACGGAGGAUCCAAGCGUUAUCCGGAAUUACUGGGCGUAAAGAGUUGCGUAGGUGGCAUCGUAAGUUAAUAGUGAAAGCGUGAGGCUCAACCUCAUAAACAUUAUUAAAACUGCGGAGCUAGAGAAUGAGAGAGGUCGCUGGAAUUCCCUGUGUAGGAGUGAAAUCCGUAGAUAUAGGGAGGAACACCGAUGGCGUAGGCAG
rnacentral:rRNA from 1 species